rnacentral:tRNA from 1 species
GAGGGUAUAGCUCAAGUGGUAGAGCGCAUGCUUAACAUGCAUGAGGUCCUGGGUUCAAUCCUCAGUACCUCCU